rnacentral:rRNA from 1 species
UAGGAUCUUCCACAAUGGAACGAAAGUCUGAUGGAGCAACGCCGCGUGAGUGAAGAAGGGUUUCGGCUCGUAAAGCUCUGUUGGUAGUGAAGAAAGAUAGAGGUAGUAACUGGCCUUUAUUUGACGGUAAUUACUUAGAAAGUCACGGCUAACUACGUGCC